rnacentral:rRNA from 1 species
GUGCCAGCCGCCGCGGUAAGACGGAGGAUGCAAGCGUUAUCCGGAAUUAUUGGGCGUAAAGCGUCCGUAGGCGGUUUAUCAAGUCUGCUGUCAAAGGCUGCAGCUCAACUGUGGAUCGGCAGUGGAAACUGAUGAACUGGAGUACGGUAGGGGUAGAGGGAAUUCCCAGUGUAGCGGUGAAAUGCGUAGAUAUUGGGAAGAACACCAGUGGCGAAGGCGCUCUACUGGGCCGUAACUGACGCUGAGGGACGAAAGCUAGGGGAGCGAAAGGGAUUAGAUACCCCUGUAGUCCUAGCUGUAAACGAUGGAUACUAGGUGUUGGACGUAUCGACCCGUUCGGUACCGCAGCCAACGCGAUAAGUAUCCCGCCUGGGGAGUACGCACGCAAGUGUGAAACUCAAAGGAAUUGACGGGG